CAAUAGCGUAUAUUAAAGUUGUUGCAGUUAAAAAGCUCGUAGUUGGAUUUCUGGUGGGAGCGAUCGGUCUGGCGCUUAGCGCGAGUACUUGCAUCGUCUCCGGCCAUCCUUGGGGAGAGUCUGUCUGGCAUUAGGUUGUCGGGCAGAGGAUCCUCAUCGUUUACUGUGAAAAAAUUAGAGUGUUCAAAGCAGGCUUAUGCCGUUGAAUAUAUUAGCAUGGAAUAAUAAGAUAGGACUUUGGUGGUCUAUUUUGUUGGUUUGCACGCCAAAGUAAUGAUUAAUAGGGAUAGUUGGGGGUAUUCGUAUUCUAUUGCUAGAGGUGAAAUUCUUAAAUUUAUGGAAGACGAACUACUGCGAAAGCAUUUACCAAGGAUGUUUUCAUUAA
rnacentral:rRNA from 1 species